UUGCAUCUGCCUCAUGAUCCAGCAUUGCAGCAUUCCUUACAGUUGGCUCUUAGAAGUAAAGAUGAUCAUGAUAAUGACGAUAUGAAAUGGAACCAACAUGAUGAUCUUGAUGAAGAUGAUCAAGAAGUGGAAACUGAUGAUCAUGAUGAAUUUGAAGAGAAUCAUACUUCACAUGGGGAUAGCAGGGGAAUAUAUGGGGUCUCAGGGAGCUCCAUGAAAAGGUUGAAACAUUGCCAGGGCCAUG
rnacentral:misc_RNA from 1 species